rnacentral:rRNA from 1 species
UGCCAGCAGCCGCGGUAAUACGGAGGGUGCAAGCGUUGUUCGGAAUUACUGGGCGUAAAGCGUACGUAGGCGGAUCAGAAAGUAAGGGGUGAAAUCCCACGGCUCAACCGUGGAACUGCCUCUUAAACUCCUGGUCUUGAGUUCGAGAGAGGUGAGUGGAACUCCGAGCGUAGAGGUGAAAUUCGUAGAUAUUGGGAAGAACACCAGUGGCGAAGGCGGCUAACUGGCUCGGUACUGACGCUGAGAUGCGAAAGCGUGGGGAGCAAACAGGAUUAGAUA